rnacentral:rRNA from 1 species
AUUGAACGCUGGCGGCAUGCCUUACACAUGCAAGUCGAACGGUAACAGGUUAAGCGGUCCUGACGCGAGCGGGACAGUUAUGUAAUACAACGUGACGAGCCCAGACGGAUGACUUAACGAAACAACAGCUUAUCUCAUAUCCGACCCGAGCUUGAGAGCAGAGCAUGGGAAGACAACGCGCUAUUCGAUUGGCCCGUAUGAUGGCAGAUAAGGUAGUUGGUGGGAUAAAAGCUAACCAAGCCGACGAUCUGUAUCUGGUCUGAGAGGACGACCAGCCACACUGGGACUGAGACACGGCCCAGACUCCUACGGGAGGCAGCAGUGGGGAAUUUUGGACAAUGGGCGCAAGCCUGAUCCAGCCAUGCCGCGUGCAGGAUGAAGGCCUUCGGGUUGUAAACCGCUUUUGUAAGGGAAGAAAAGGCUCUGGCUAAUACCUGGGACACAUGACGGUACCUUAAGAAUAAGCACCGGCUAACUACGUG